UACGGGGGGGGCAAGCGUUGUUCGGAAUUACUGGGCGUAAAGGGCUCGUAGGUGGCCAACUAAGUCAGACGUGAAAUCCCUCGGCUUAACCGGGGAACUGCGUCUGAUACUGGAUGGCUUGAGAUUGGGAGAGGGAUGCGGAAUUCCAGGUGUAGCGGUGAAAUGCGUAGAUAUCUGGAGGAAUACCGGUGGCGAAGGCGGCAUCCUGGACCGGCAUUGACGCUGAGGAGCGAAAGCCAGGGGAGCAAACGGG
rnacentral:rRNA from 1 species